UCUUAAGCCGCGAUUCCACAAGCAUCUACUCGGCGCGGUACGGUUCGCCACUAUUGUAUCUGACUCGGCUCUCGGUUUAGUUGUUUUUCCAUAUAGCCUCAUCGUGGGUGGAGUCGUCAUAGCGCAGCGAGCCGAAAGUCCCUUAACGUCAUUUGCGUGCGACACAAACGCAACAUAACGGAGACGAUGGUUCACCUGCUGCUCGGUCUGUGGCUUUCUGUCAGAUUCAGAGUAAUAGAAGAGUCGGAGAAAGCUGAGAGCGGCGAGUCGAAACACUCAGGAGACACACAGGAGAGUUUGGGAGGCGAUGCAGCAGUAUCAAGCUGAAGACAAGAGGAUAUGAACUAGACGACAUAUGAGGAUGCUCUCUGAUGAGACUUCAUGGGAUUUACCUGAAGCAGCAGCACAUGAGCCUGCAGUGGCACAAGGUGUAGAGGAGGAGGACAGAGAUGUACAGGAUGCACUGAUGCAGUACAUGUCAUGCAAAAGUUAUUCUUCUCGUUAUACUUCCGUUUUUCUGUCCCCGGACCGCUAUCGUUUUCUUUAAUGCAAUUCUGACAAUAAACUUUUGUACCUUUUGCA
ensembl:lncRNA